GUAACGGUGUCUUUAGACACCACCUCUAUUCUUUGAAUUUUUCUUU
rfam:Picea glauca, whole genome shotgun sequence.